GACGAACGCUGGCGGCGUGCUUAAUACAUGCAAGUCGACUGAACUUAAGGUAGCAAUAUUUUAAGGGAGGUGGCGCACGGGUGAGUAACACGUAGGUAAUCUGCCUUUAGGACUGACAUAACCCAGAGAAAUCUGGGCUAAUAUCAGAUGAUGCAGCGGCUCGACAUCGAGACAGUUGUUAAACCUUCGGGGCCUAGAGAUGAGCCUGCGUCUGAUUAGGUAGUUGGCGGGGUAAUGGCCCACCAAGCCAUCGAUCAGUAGCUGGUCUGAGAGGAUGAUCAGCCACACUGGAACUGAGACACGGUCCAGACUCCUACGGGAGGCAGCAGUAAGGAAUAUUGCUCAAUGGCCGAAAGGCUGAAGCAGCAACGCCGCGUGGAGGAUG
rnacentral:rRNA from 1 species